GACGAACGCUGGCGGCGUGCUUAACACAUGCAAGUCGAACGGCAAGGCCCUGCUUUUGUGGGGUGCUCGAGUGGCGAACGGGUGAGUAACACGUGAGUAACCUGCCCUAGACUUUGGGAUAACUUCAGGUAACUGGGGCUAAUACCGGAUAGGAGCUCCUGCUGCAUGGUGGGGGUUGGAACGUUUCGGCGGUUGGGGAUGGACUCGCGGCUUAUCAGCUUGUUGGUGGGGUAGUGGCUUACCAAGGCAUUGACGGGUAGCCGGCCUGAGAGGGUGACCGGCGACAUUGGGCCUGCGAGACGGACCAGACUGCAACGGGAGGCAGCAGUGGGGAAUAUUGCACAAUGGGCGGAAGCCUGAGGCGGCAACGCCGCGUGCGGGAUGACGGCCUUCGGGUUGUAAAACGCUUUCGCCUGUGACGAAGCGUGAGUGACGGUAAUGGGUAAAGAAGCACCGGCUAACUACGUG
rnacentral:rRNA from 1 species